rnacentral:rRNA from 2 species
UACGAAGGGUGCUAGCGUUGUUCGGAAUCACUGGGCGUAAAGCGCACGUAGGCGGUCCGCACCAGUCAGGCGUGAAAGCCCCGGGCUCAACCCGGGAAUAGCGCUUGAUACUAGCGGGCUAGAGUCCGGGAGAGGAUAGUGGAAUUCCCAGUGUAGAGGUGAAAUUCGUAGAUAUUGGGAAGAACACCAGUGGCGAAGGCGGCUAUCUGGACCGGUACUGACGCUGAGGUGCGAAAGCGUGGGGAGCAAACAGG